rnacentral:lncRNA from 1 species
AGUGUGUCUGAGUCCAUAGAGUGUUAGCUACAGAAACCUUUCCAUUGCCAUUCUGAGCAAGUGCAGCAGGCAGUGUGCCUACAGCUCUGCAAAGAAACUUCAGAUAGCAGAUUCUGUCAACCACAUUUCAUAAAGAGUUCUGAUUCUAAGAGAGCCAUACACCUGAAGGAGGGAUGGAAAGACUAGGAGAGCCUGGGAUCCUCAGAGAUGGAGAUCUGGAUGUGAAGAGAAAGAGAAAAACAAAAGUCAACAGACAGUACUGUGACCAAGUCAGUGAUGGUGAGAUCAGCAGCAUCUCUAGGACCCUUCUGAUUGACAUGAAGUCACCAUCAAGUAGGCAGAACUCACAGCAGGAGACCUGUCUCUGAUGCUGCUGAGCCACUUUGACAAUCGUUAUAUAGAAAUCUGAUUGGAUGCCGUGAAACUGGACAUCAGCAAAAUGUCAGAAUGG